rnacentral:rRNA from 1 species
UACGUAGGGACCAAGCGUUGUUCGGAUUUACUGGGCGUAAAGGGCGCGUAGGCGGCAAUUCAAGUCAGUUGUGAAAUCUCCGAGCUUAACUCGGAACGGUCAACUGAUACUGCUUUGCUAGAGUACAGAAGGGGCAAUCGGAAUUCUUGGUGUAGCGGUGAAAUGCGUAGAUAUCAAGAGGAACACCUGAGGUGAAGACGGGUUGCUGGGCUGAUACUGACGCUGAGGCGCGAGAGCUAGGGUAGCAAACGG